rnacentral:rRNA from 1 species
CAGUAGCCGCGGUAAGACAGAGGAUGCAAGCGUUAUCCGGAAUGAUUGGGCGUAAAGCGUCUGUAGGUGGCUUUUCAAGUCCGCCGUCAAAUCCCAGGGCUCAACCCUGGACAGGCGGUGGAAACUACCAAGCUGGAGUACGGUAGGGGCAGAGGGAAUUUCCGGUGGAGCGGUGAAAUGCGUAGAUAUGCGGAGGAACACCGAUGGCGAAGGCAAUCCCCUGGGCCUGCACUGACGCUCAUGCACGAAAGCGUGGGGAGCAAACAGGAUUAGAUACCCGCGUAGUCCCUGUCUCUUAUAC